rnacentral:rRNA from 1 species
GUGCCAGCAGCCGCGGUAAUACGUAGGGGGCAAGCGUUGUCCGGAAUUAUUGGGCGUAAAGCGCGCGCAGGCGGUCAUGUAAGUCUUCUGUUUAAUGCCAGGGCUCAACCUUGGUACGCAGAGGAAACUGGGUGACUUGAGUGCAGGAGAGGAAAGUGGAAUUCCACGUGUAGCGGUGAAAUGCGUAGAGAUGUGGAGGAACACCAGUGGCGAAGGCGACUUUCUGGCCUGUAACUGACGCUGAGGCGCGAAAGCGUGGGGAGCAAACAGGAUUAGAUACCCUGGUAGUCC